rnacentral:rRNA from 1 species
UACGGAGGGUGCGAGCGUUGUCCGGAAUCAUUGGGCGUAAAGGGCGCGUAGGUGGCCCGGUCAGUCUUUGGUGAAAGCGCGGGGCUCAACCCUGCGUCGGCCAGGGAUACUGCCGCGGCUCGAGCACUGUAGAGGCAGGCGGAAUUCCGGGUGUAGCGGUGAAAUGCGUAGAUAUCGGAAGGAACAUCAGUGGCGAAAGCGACUUCCUGGACCAAUACUGACGCUCAUGUGCGAAAGCGUGGGGAGCAAACAGG